AUAACGGUCCUAAGGUAGCGAAAUUCCUUGUCGGGUAAGUUCCGACCCGCACGAAUGGCGUAACGAUGGCCACACUGUCUCCUCCUGAGACUCAGCGAAGUUGAAAUGUUUGUGAUGAUGCAAUCUCCCCGCGGAUAGACGGAAAGACCCCAUGAACCUUUACUGUAGCUUUGUAUUGGACUUUGAACAAAUCUGUGUAGGAUAGGUGGGAGGCUUUGAAGUGGUGAUGCUAGUUGCCAUGGAGCCGCUGUUGAAAUACCACCCUGGUGUGUUUGAGGUUCUAACCUUCGCCCUUGAAUCAGGGCGGGGAACAGUGCAUGGUAGGCAGUUUGACUGGGGCGGUCUCCUCCUAAAGUGUAACGGAGGAGCUCGAAGGUACGCUAGUUACGGUCGGACAUCGUGACGAUAGUGCAAUGGCAUAAGCGUGCUUAACUGCGAGACUGACAAGUCGAGCAGGUGCGAAAGCAGGACAUAGUGAUCCGGUGGUUCUGUAUGGAAGGGCCAUCGCUCAACGGAUAAAAGGUACUCCGGGGAUAACAGGCUGAUACCGCCCAAGAGUUCAUAUCGACGGCGGUGUUUGGCACCUCGAUGUCGGCUCAUCUCAUCCUGGGGCUGUAGCCGGUCCCAAGGGUAUGGCUGUUCGCCAUUUAAAGAGGUACGUGAGCUGGGUUUAAAACGUCGUGAGACAGUUUGGUCCCUAUCUUCCGUGGGCGUUGCAGAUUUGAGAAAGCCUGCUCCUAGUACGAGAGGACCGGAGUGGACGCACCUCUGGUGUACCUGUUGUCACGCCAGUGGCAUUGCAGGGUAGCUAUGUGCGGAAGAGAUAACCGCUGAAAGCAUCUAAGCGGGAAACUCGUUUCAAGAUGAGAUCUGCCGGGGGCAAGACCCCCCUAGAGAGUCGUUCGAGACCAGGACGUUGAUAGGCUGGAUGUGGAAGUGCAGUAAUGCAUUAAGCUAACCAGUACUAAUUGCUCGUGAGGCUUGACCCU
rnacentral:rRNA from 1 species